UACAUAGGGGGCAAGCGUUAUUCGGAAUUAUUGGGCGUAAAGGGCGCGUAGGCGGCCUUCUAAGUCGAACGUGAAAUCCCCGGGCUCAACCCGGGAACUGCGUCCGAUACUGGAAGGCUAGAAUCCGGGAGAGGGAUGCGGAAUUCCAGGUGUAGCGGUGAAAUGCGUAGAUAUCUGGAGGAACACCGGUGGCGAAGGCGGCAUCCUGGACCGGUAUUGACGCUGAGGCGCGAAAGCCAGGGGAGCAAACGGG
rnacentral:rRNA from 1 species